AUGGAGGCGCUUUCUGAGAUUCGUGCUGAGGAGACUCGCUUACGUGGGGCUGGUUUGCUGGAGGUUCCCUCUGUGCUCGCUACUCGUGCUCCUACGCCACCUGCUGCACCGACCCCCUCUCGCUCGAGUGCUCCGCCGCUCUUGCCCACUCCUUCUGGAGGCUCAGGUCGCCCCCGUCCACAUUGCGACUAUUGCAACAAUGAUGGUCAUCUUGAGUCUCAGUGCUACACGAAGAAGAAACACCUGCGCAAGGCGCGAUCAUCAUCUUCAGGGACUUCGUCAUCUACCUCGACAGCUUCAGCCAUUGCUUUGACUGACCAAGAUAUUCUGAGACUUAAGCGUCUGCUCGCGGCUUCAGGUUCUUCCUCGACGGGUACUGCUGGUUCUGUGACUGAUGCUUCCCGCACUGAGCAAUCACCCUCUACACAGUCAGGUACAUCCCCAUGGGUUCUGGACUCUGGAGCUUCUUUUCAUAUGUCUUCUCAUUCUUCCACUUUGUCCUCUCUUCGAUCACUGGAUUCUCCUGUUCAUGUCUUCACUGCUGAUGGUACUCCACUUUCUGUUGCUAGUAGAGUCAAUCUUACCACUCCUUCUUAUUCUGUUCCUGAUGUUGCUCAUGUUCCUCGACUUACCAUGAAUCUGUUUUCUGCUGGUCAACUUACUGAUUCUGGUUGUCGUGUCAUCCUUGACGUUGACUCUUGUUCUGUCCAGGACCGUCGCACGCACACUCUGGUUGGGGCUGGCCCUCGCCGCCGUGAUUCUCAGGGUCUUUGGGAGUUGGACUGGCUUCAUGUUCCUUCCGCUGCCACCACCAUCGCCAGUUCUUCCGCUUCUGUCGCCUCCGUUACUGGUUCCUUCCAGCAGUGGCAUCAUCGACUUGGUCAUCUGUGUGGUUCUCGGUUGUCUUCUUUAGUUCGUCGAGGUCUUCUGGGGUCUGUCUCAGGAGAUGUCUCUUUAGAGUGUCAGGGUUGUCGUCUUGGCAAGCAGAUUCAGUUACCAUAUUCACAUAGUGAGUCAGUGUCCAAGCGUCCUUUCGAUUUAGUCCAUUCUGAUGUAUGGGGUCCGGCCCCUUUCGCUUCGAAAGGUGGUCAUAAAUACUAUAUUAUUUUCAUAGAUGAUUUCUCUCGUUACACAUGGCUUUAUUUCAUGACUUCUCGUUCUGAGGUGUUGUCUAUUUAUAAGCAUUUUGCUGCCAUGGUUCAUACUCAGUUCUCUUCACCCAUUCGUGUUUUUCGUGUUGACUCCGCUGGCGAGUAUAUCUCUAAGAUGUUGCGUGGUGUUCUUGCUGAGCAAGGGACUCUCUCUCAAUUCUCUUGUCCUGGUGCUCAUGCUCAGAAUGGUGUGGCUGAGCGAAAGCAUCGACAUCUUCUUGAGACGGCUCGUGCAUUGAUGAUUGCUGCCUCUCUCCCGCCUCAUUUUUGGGCUGAGGCCGUCUCCACAUCCACCUAUCUUAUCAAUAUACAGCCUUCCGCUGCUCUACAGGGUGGUGUUCCUUUCGAGCGACUUUUUGAUCGUUCUCCCGAUUAUUCGAUGCUUCGCUCGUUUAGUUGUGUUUGCUAUGUUCUUCUUGCCCCUCGCGAACGCACCAAACUGACCGCUCAGUCUGUUGAGUGUGUCUUCUUAGGCUACAGUGAUGAGCAUAAGGGCUAUCGUUGUUGGGAUCCAAUCGGUCAUCGGAUGCGUAUCUCUCGAGACGUGACUUUUGAUGAGUCUCGUCCCUUCUACCCACGCCCAUCUUCCUCGACUUUUUCAGUGCAUGAUAUCUCUUUCCUCACUUUUCCUGACUCACCUAUCACCCCCGUCGAGCCUGUACCUCUCCGUUCCACUUCCUCUCCUUCUCCACCUCUAGUUGAUUUGCAGCCACCAUCCUCCCCGGUCUCCUCUCCUAGCAUGUCACCGGGUUCUCCACCUUCAUCUCCGGUGACUUCCUCCCCGGUCUCCUCUCCCAGCAUGUCACCGGAUUCUACACCUUCAUCUCCGGUGACUUCUUCGUCGCCACCCCCCGAUUCUACCUUGACGAUUCCUCCUUCUAUUAUUUCAUCUUUUCCUCAGCAUUACACUUGUCGUCCACGACCAGUCGAUGCCUCUGUGGAUGAGUCGUCAUCUUCCUCUCAGCCUACUUAUGGCUUGCGUUCUCGUCCUCGUCCGCUUGUUGAUCGCUUUGGAUUUCCCACCGCUGGUGCUGCUGUUCUUGAGCCGACUUCUUACCGUCAGGCUGUUGUUCAUCCUGAAUGGCAGUUUGCGAUGGCAGAGGAGAUUGCUGCUCUUGAACGCACUGGUACCUGGGAUCUUGUUUCUCUUCCUCCCGGAGUCCGUCCGAUCACUUGUAAGUGGGUCUACAAGGUUAAGACUCGCUCCGAUGGUUCUCUUGAGCGUCACAAAGCUCGUCUUGUGGCUCGUGGUUUUCAGCAGGAGCACGGUCGUGAUUAUGACGAGACUUUUGCUCCUGUGGCCCAUAUGACCACUGUUCGUACACUUCUUGCCGUUGCCUCUGCACGCCACUGGUCUAUAUCUCAGCUUGAUGUUAAGAAUGCCUUUCUUAAUGGUGAGCUGCGUGAGGAGGUGUACAUGCAGCCACCACCUGGGUAUUCUGUUCCUGAUGGCAUGGUAUGUCGUCUUCGUCGCUCUCUCUAUGGCCUUAAGCAAGCCCCCCGCGCCUGGUUUGAGCGCUUUGCCUCUGUGAUCACUGCUGCUGGUUUUUCAGCAAGUGCUCAUGAUCCAGCAUUGUUUAUUCACCUUUCUCCUCGUGGUCGGACUCUUCUUCUUCUCUAUGUUGAUGACAUGAUCAUCACGGGGGAUGACCCCGAGUAUAUUGCCUUUGUAAAGGCCCGUCUUAGUGAGCAGUUUCUUAUGUCUGAUCUUGGACCUCUUCGCUACUUUCUUGGGAUUGAAGUCUCUUCUACCUCUGAUGGCUUUUUUAUAUCCCAGGAAAAGUAUAUCUAG
rnacentral:rRNA from 1 species